GCUGGCUUCGGCAGCACAUACUAAAAUUGGAACGACACAGAGAAGAUUAGCGUGGCCCCUGCACAAGGAUGACACACAAAUUCAUGAAGCGUUCCAUAUUUAA
rnacentral:snRNA from 1 species